UGGGGCGGGGCCGGGCUGCGGGGCCAGGCCGAGCCUCUGGGGCCACUUAGGGGGAGGCGGGGCCCGCCGUGGUGGGCGGGGCUUCCCUCAGGUGUGACUGAUUGCCCAGGCAGGUUUCCCCUGGUCACCCUCUUCCUUGUCCCCUCUCCCUGCAGCCACCGCUUUGCUUAUGGGGCGGUGUCUCUUCAGCUCUCCUUGACACUUGUCCCAGUAUCCGAGAAAGAGGAGAAAGAGGAGAGGAGGGCAGGCAGAGGGCAGGAGGAAAGGGGCAAACCUCCUUGCUUUCAUUCUCCUCUGAAACUCGCCCUUUCCCCUCUAGAUUCCAAAGGGUGGCAGAGGUGUGAAAGCAGACGUGGGAGAAAUGACUUGAAACGGGGCACAAUGGUAGGAAGCAGCAGGUGCAGAGAUGGAGGUAACGGGAAAGUGGAGCCCACAGCGAGAAUGUCUCGGAAUUGGUGUAAUUCAGAGAAAUUAAUGACGACUUUCCGCGGGACGGCUCCCUGGGGGAUGAUUAACACUUCAUCGUCCAUCUGAUGCGCGGGGCCCAGCGCUCCAUCGCGAACAUUUGGGCCGUGGCCAGCCGCAUUAAAGAGACAGUGUCUCACUAUGUUGCCCGUGCUGGAGCGCAGUGGCUAUUCUCGGGUGUGAUCUUAGUGCACUGCAGCCUCAAACUCCUGGGCUCAAGCAAUCCUUCUGCCUCAGCCGCCCAAGUAGCUGGGACAACAGACUCUGAAACCAUCUGCAGCUCAUCUUCCCAGGGAGGGCACUGAUGUGGACUAUGCAGAAUAUCCGCUCCGGUGUGGUACACGGUAACAAGAGAGGACUGUGAGGGUCUUCUUCCUAAGUACUCAAGUAGCUGGAUAUGUGUUUUUGCAGCUGCUGAAGGUGGUCUUCCUGCCAUAUGUAAUUCUUAAAAGCAGUGGUGGGGGUUAUAGGCUAGGUAAGGCUGUAGGAGGGAAGAUUACCAAGUUCCAUCGCAGUGUGGUUGUCUAGUGGUCUUUAAAACACAGCAUGAAGCCUUGCCUCAGGUCCCAAGCACAUUGCAAAUGAGCCAGUGGUAAAUAAACCUUGAAACCUGAUGGCUCUGUUCUCUCUGUUGGAAUCUAUCAAUUUUGUGUGCAUGAUAGGCAUAUUUAUUGAUUGAUAAAGGCUUGAAGGAGAAGCUGGAAAUAGGACUGGCUUCCUUGGUCUCCAAGAGGCAGUUUGCUGCUACCACAAAACAUGUUUAAAGCUCUUUAAUUUCUUAGGCCCUUGGAGUCUUAAAUUGCUCUCCACUCUAAACACAUGUAUGUUUUGGGCAGUGCGCCAACACCGGAAGCCCGGACAACACCUAUCCAUGCAUGACAACUGUGUUAUUGACUAUGUACGGCAAAUGUUUGAUUCUAUGUUCUUUCUCUUGCCUUUCAGAAGCUCUUGGGGAAACUUCUCUCUGUUAUCAGUUAACAUGUGAUAUGUGCCUGUAAAAGGCAGACCCAUUUCAACCUUGGUUUAAGUAAAAUCAUGUGGAAAGCCCAAUUUCCUUUAAGAAGUUAUUCCAAGCUAAUAAAAAUGAUUUUUCAAUUAUAUUCUUUUGGUUUAUCUUUGUCACUCUUUUUCUUUUAUUAUUACAAAAAUCAUUAGGUAGACUAGGAAAUAGAAAGAACCAGAUAAUGAGGAUAAGGAAUUGCCCUAAAAAGCAUGGUGCCAGGGGCUCCUUGUUGCAGAUUAUGAUGCAUGAGCUAGGGGUCAGGCAGGUGGGUCUUGGUUGGAGAAAUCAUAUUGAUCUAUAUUUGUAUAAGAAUGUAGUAGGACUUUACUUGACUCAAAUGAUCUGGUGGUUUUCCUAUAUGAAAAAAUAAAUUAACUUUCUAAGGGAGACGUGGGGGCAUGGAGUAGCUACCUAGGGCUAUGAGAGGAAUCAAGCAAUGUCUAGUGAGGGAGGAUAGAGAGGAAGACAGCUCACCCCUUACAUGGGAGGACAGAAGGAUACAUUUAACGAGAUGAAGGAAGAUAGCCAGAGAGAUAGUUGGCAUUUCCCAAGCCACCUUGUGUGCAGUGCAUCAUUGUGGGUGUUGGGAGGAGGUACCUGGGAGAAGGGGCCAUGGCUCUGACCAUUCACAACUGCCAGUCUAAAAGUAGAGGCAGAUUAUAGUGAUAGAUGGGACCAAUGGAUGGAUUUCUACAUUCUAUGUUUACAAGAAAAUGAAGGAUUUGGGAAAAGAAACAGAAUCAAGGCUGUUUGGCAAGGCUUCUUGGGAAAAAUGAGUGUGGGUCAGGGCUCAUUGUAGGCAAAGGCCAUCUUAUGUUACAGUCGUGGAUUCGAAAGACAGGCAGAUGGAUUUUCUUCCACUAUUUUCUCCUGAGCACUUUUCUGAGGUGUUCUGGAUUGAAUAGAUGUUGGGUUGAGAAAAGGGAGUAGAGAAUCAUAGGGGGAAGAAAAGAGAGAAGAAACUGAUUUUUACUGUUGACAUCAAUGUAUUACAUCACUUUUUAUUUUUAUUUUUUUUAAGCCAGUCAAAUUUAGUAGUGGGGGGUUGCACAUAACUUUUUAAAUCUCUUUAUCUUUUAUACCCUUUCUGGCUUUUCCCCAGGUCUCUUUCUGAUACUCAUUUGGAAAAUCUAAUCCUUAUUCAUCCUGAUAGCCCGUCUAGUUUCUGAAGAGUUCUAGAAGCUGUUCUGAUUUGUCAAGUCAAUAAUCUUUUCUUGGUGUGAUGGAAACGUUAAGAACUUCCAACAUUGGAUCCUGACUGAAACUAAACCUGUGAAUGUGUCAAAUCAUGAAUGAAGAGGAUUUGCCUCUGUCUUCUCUGAAGUUAUCCCAGAGAGACUUGGAGAAGCCACCUUGUUCACAACCAUUCCAGAAUAAAACUAGAUGCCAUGAAGUAUGUAAAGCCUCUAGAGAAGCUCUGGCUGUCUGUCUGUUUACCCAAAUAAUGGCACAAUGAUACUAGUGUACUGUGUGUGUAGCAGGGGCUCCAUAAAUAUGGACGGAAGGACGCAAAAAUGUUUUGGUUUAUAUUUUAGAUGGAUUUUGGUCUACAUCUGGGUAGAUUUUGUCUACAUCAUUUUGGUGUACCUUUGGCUGCAGUGUUUUGGUCUACAUGGGGAUGGGUUUCCACCAGCUUGGAAUUCAGCCCCUGCCAGCCUGGAUUGGGAUUUGAGAGGUGUAGUGCUGGGGGUGGUUGGGUGGGUGGGUGAGCUGGAGGGGGUGGCCAUGUUUCCUCUUGAGCUAAUGAGCAGACAGUUUGGAGGCUGCCGUAGCUUUCAAGUUCAAGACUUGGUUGCAGCUAGUAACAUUUACUGCAGAAUUACAAUUUGUAGCCUCAGAGUGAGAACAUAAAACAGUUUCUACCCUAAGGAGUUUUUAUUUUAGAUAGGGAGACAAAGUAUUCUCCUAAGUAACAUUCAAACAGAAGGCAGCACACAGUACGUUCAUAGGUGAGGGGAACGUGGCUGGUGAGCAGUCACUUUGGUGGGGUCAUUCUCAGAAGACUCCUGGGAGAAACGCUCGGAUAUUUAUUUUCUUUAGUAUGAGCUGAAUUUGGUUACUUCAGCUUUCUUUCCAACCUUUCGGGAAAGCUAUCUCAGCUUUACUUCUCUUUCCCCAGGGGAGAUGUAACCCACUUAUUACUACUGAAAUGGUUUCUUUCUGACUCUUUUCCUUUUCUGCACACAUCAAGACUGAGAAUUAUUAUUAUUAUAUUUUAGUGUCUCGAUCUGGAUUAGUAUCUGCAGCAAAUAUUUAACUCAAUCCGUAUAGUUGGGCAACUGGAUUUAUUGGUUCAAAGUGUAUGUGGAAUUUGUUUUGUUUUCUUUUGCUUUUGGUGGGAGGCACAGAGGGAAGGAAGGCCUAAGUGAGGCUGGACUUAUUGGAUCAUAGUCCAAGCUUCAAACCACCAUGAAUAUGUAGCUUGAACUGAUGUUUCCCAGGGAAACAAGCAAAAUGCCCAUAUGGGGCAAUUUUCCCUUCUUCCAUGCAGCCUUCCCAAAGUACCCUGAGGUGCACAGAAGAUAGUCCCUAAUCUUGCCUACAUUGGAAAAUGAAGCCCUUCCUACUCAUAUCUUCUAUCAACUAUGAUGUCAUCUGGGAUCUUGAAAUGCCCUUGCCCCAGUUAUAAAUAAACAUUACUAUUUAUUUCUGGUUUAGGAUUACCCUUUCCAGGCCAUGGUUUAUAGAUCUUUUACUUAUCUUGAGGGAUGGGGAAGUAGCCACAAAAUGCCCUUAAUUGUAAGCUCCCAAAGAAGGGAAUCCUCUAUUUGUCACCAUUUGUUUUGCAUUGUGUGCAAAUGAGUGAUUUGGUGGUCAUAGUGGUGGUGGUAAUGAUUUAAGAGGGAAAAAGUGAAUUCCUUUGUGAAUUCCUUUGCAAAAAAAUCAUUUUGGUGCCUGAAUUUUCUAAUUUGGAGUUUGCCUUUGUAUUCACUUACACUGAGUUGAAAUCUGCUUUUUAAUAGUUUGAAUCCAGCCUUUAUCAUUUACAAACCCUUAGUGGUAUUCACUUGACGGAAAUACCAAACCGUACCAUCCGAUCCAAUCACCAAAGGGAUCAUCCAGUUUCUCCCUUUAGACUCAACCCAAACUAAACAAAAUCCAUCUGUGAACUUAUUUAUAGACCGUACAGGACAAAUGGUAGCAACUACAGAAAAUCCUCUUCUCUGGGAACUUGCAGUGUGAGAGCAGUUCAUGGACACUUCCCCAAGGCCCAGACACAGGCAGUGCAGCAAGGAGAGAAGUAGGAGCAAAUGGACAGGGCUCUGGAUGUUAAUGAGGAGGGGAGGGGGCAAGGAGCACAGCCUGCAGAGCUCAGAUAUCUGUAGGUGUGGUUAGUUAGAGACGCUUCCUGAAGGAGGAGCGUGUUGACCAGAGUUUGGAAAAAAGGUGUUCUAGGCAGAAGGACAGUCUGUGUGAAUAGCAAGAUGUUCAUGUGUAGGGAAAGAUUUGUCCUGUUCAAGCAGAGAGCCACAGAAAGGCUUCAUAGUAGGAGUAAGCGUUAGAAGAAUAAUGAAAAGAAAGCCUUGGAAAUACAAUCUUAGGAGUGUGGAUUUAACAGAGAGCAGGAAACUGCAGGUCUGGUUGGGAGUGUGUGUGUGUGUGUGUGUGUUGCUUUUCAAGCCUUGAAGAAAGUGUCAUUUUCCAGGAGGAGGGUAGAGGGCACUCACACUUCAGUUAUCUGCUGCAAUGCAGCACUCCGGACGAAUGUGAUUCAGGGCUGCAGCAUACUUUAGAGAACGGCAGCACUCUCUGAUGGUUGCUGGGGUGAAUCCGAGAUGAUCGCAUUGUGCAGAGUUACUGAUUUUAGAGGCCAGGAGGGUGGGUCAUGGAGUAUAGUGGGAAGCUGGCUCGGGUGCACAGUAUUUGCAAACUGUGGGAACCUACUAGAUAGUGUUCUGGUGGAAACAAGGUGCCACAUGUCUGAGUUACUUCAUGCCAAUUGGAUUGAAUUCAGGGCUAGCAUAGUGAGCCCCAAAUAUCUGAAACCAGUGAUUUCACAUGGGAUUCCUUAGGUUUAAUCCAAAUUUUUAUGUAACGUCCCUGAAUAAAACCAGGAUCCUUAGGGGCUGUUUUGUCAAUCUUGUUGUCUUUGGAUGUAUUUGGGGCUUUCUUCCUUAAAACUGAAAUGGAAAGGUGAUUCUUUAUCUUUGUCAAUCUUUCUAUACUGAUAGCAUGUUCAGAAUAUCUAUUAUUCCUUGAGUCCAUAUUCCUUAAUAAUCUUUUUAAAAAUAAGUAAUGAGGAGAUUAGAAAAUAGAAAGCCUAAGAGGUCAGUGUUCAUGCCUGAUGUCCAUUGGUCUUUGUGCUUAUUUCCAUGAAUGAUUAAUAAAUACUAAGAAUGUUCUAGUUGUGAGCUAAGAGCGGACCCAGACACGGGUCACAGCGAACACUAAUAAUCAUUUUUGGUAUUCUGUUAAGUCAGGUCUCUGGUUGUCAAGAACAACCAAACCAGAAUGACUGACCUCCCAUAGCUCAAGUCCUUCUCCCAGCACCAACAUGAAUUUUUAGCUUUGGAAUGGUGUCGAUCAUGUUUUAGAGUGACAGGCAAGCCGACACUUUUCUGGUACUGGGUUCUUCCAAGUUAAAGAUAAGGAGAUUGCCAUUUUCUGGUAAACAUAUCCCCUAGUCUGCUCCUGAUUGUCAGUGAAGUCUGGGGAGCAAAUGGCCAAGUGAAUUAGAAAGCUUAAAAGAUGUUUUGUUAAACCAACCUCAUUAAACUGGCACCGUCUGCCUUCCUACUCGCCUUUGUUCCAGUUGGGGCUUUCUUCGUGACAGAUGUUUCCUAACCGUGUGUGCCGGUAGCAUCUGGAAGCCUUGGGUGACUGCUGAGGUUUGGGAAGGCCAAAUCUGGAGGUAUUUAGGUUGUCAGGGAAAUUACAACCAUUUUCCUGCCAUUGGGCUACCCAUUUAAAAAAAAUACCUUUUGCCCCAUCUUCCUUUGGCUAACGAAAAUCAAGGUUUCAUUUCUUUCUCUAGCACUUCCUAACCUGCACUGAGGAUGGUUUUUUCUUUUCAAGAAUAAGGUAGUGAGUAGACAAGAUUUGGAAUAUGAUGAAAGAAUAGUGUGAUGAAAGAAGUCUCAGAAGGGUUAUUUAUAUUUGACACAUUGAGAUCUGUUAUCUUAUAUUUCUAAAAACCAAACAAAAGGACAUGGGUUAAAAUUGUGGGAGUAGGAAUUAUAAUUAGAUGUAAAAUUGUGUCUGGGAACUAUUGGAAUAGCUACAGGGAUGCUUUGGGCUCUCCUUUCUUGGCAUCUAGAAAGAUUGGAGACUUUGGCACUGGAUUGGAUUAGAAUUUUAGUAGGAAAUGGUUUAGAUGGAGCUUUCAGAUUUAAUAGUCUCUCUACUUCCAGCCCUGGCCUAUCAGAAUCUAUUUGGGAGGAAAGAGGAGACAUUGGUAGGGGGUGACCUGGGCACAAGGGUAAGAACUGGCUCAAAUCCUCUUAAUAGCUAUGCCUUAGACUCCUCAGUCUUUGUGGAGACAGUGUGCUACAGUAGAAAGAACAUGGGCUUUGAAGUCACAAAGAACCAAGUUCAAAUUUCAACUCUUUUUUUUUUUACUGGCUAUAUGAUCUUGAAAAAGUAACUUAACCUCUCUUAAUCUGCAAAAUGGAAUAAUAAUAGUUAUCUUAUUGGGUAUACAGGGGUUAAAUGAAAUAAUGUAUGUAUAUUGCUUGCAGCUCAACAAAUUCUAGUUCCCUUCUGCCACUCUCUCUUGUGUAUCCCUAAUUCUCACACAUAUACGUGGUACCCCUAUUUGACAGAUAUUUUUCUCUGCAUGUCUUCCUCAAUGCUUCUUAGUGUUCAAGCCUAGGGCCCUGAUUUAUUAAUUUGUGUUAGUCCCACAAAAUGGCAAUAACAGUAUGUACUUUUUAUAACCAUACUAACAUGAGCCAAGGUUGUGGUUUCUUUCCAGGCAUUUUUACUUGCUAACAAUUUUGGUUGUAAAUCAAAGACAAAGCAGUUCUAUCUUUCCAUCCACCCUUCUGAUCUAAAGCUCCCGAUUCUGGGUGGGAUUUCAUUCCAAUCAACAGGCGAUGCCAAGCUUGUUUAUAAAGAUCAUUCAGGGAAGAAAAAAAUCCAAAAAUCCGUAACUUUUACUGGGACAUUCUUGUUUUCCUCCCAAUCUUUUAGUUUGAAAAAUAUUAGACCUACAGAAAAGUUGCAAGAAUAGUGUAAUUAACACUCAUUUAUCUUUCACCAGGAUUGACCAAUUGCCAAUAUAUAUAUUUUUAAAUUUCAGAUUAUUAUGGUAGUACAAACAUUUU